GACGAACGCUGGCGGCGUGCUUAACACAUGCAAGUCGAACGGAAAGGCCCUGCUUUUGUGGGGUGCUCGAGUGGCGAACGGGUGAGUAACACGUGAGUAACCUGCCCUUGACUUUGGGAUAACUUCAGGAAGCUGGGGCUAAUACCGGAUAGGAGCUCCUGCUGCAGGGUGGGGGUUGGAAAGUUUCGGCGGUUGGGGAUGGACUCGCGGCUUAUCAGCUUGUUGGUGGGGUAGUGGCUUACCAAGGCUUUGACGGGUAGCCGGCCUGAGAGGGUGACCGGCCACAUUGGGACUGAGAUACGGCCCAGACUCCUACGGGAGGCAGCAGUGGGGAAUAUUGCACAAUGGGCGGAAGCCUGAUGCAGCAACGCCGCGUGCGGGAUGACGGCCUUCGGGUUGUAAACCGCUUUCGCCUGUGACGAAGCGUGAGUGACGGUAAUGGGUAAAGAAGCACCGGCUAACUACGUG
rnacentral:rRNA from 1 species